rnacentral:lncRNA from 1 species
AUAAAAGCAUCCACAUCAAAAUGUUGCACUGCUCCUCCUGCAAUCACUUCAGUACCAGGUGAAACAGGUUCUAAGCAUAACCUUACUUCCCCAAUCACCCUUUGAUCUGCCAACCAUUUCAGCAUAACUUGCUAUUAUAUCUCAUCUCAUUAAAUUUUGGUUAACUUUUGCAUGGUACUGUCACUUGCUGCCUAACCACUUCUUGGUGUAUAUAUAUAUACAUAUAUGCAUCCCCCCAGACUUUUCUUUAUUCCUCUUGUUAACUUCCAAUCCCAACUUCCCCUUAUCUUUGCUGUUUCGUUUUGAUUUCAACUGCUCCUUGAGGCUUAAUCUGCAUGUGGAUACUCUCUUCUUUCUCCAUAAGUCUAUUACCAAUGUAUUCCACUUAAUGCUUUGAUCUUCUUUACUUUUUCUUGUUUUUAUAGUGAAAGUAAAGACUUUUGCUUUCUCUUCUUUUUGAAGGCAAUCAUGGAUUUGGGGGACAACCAGGAAUAUGAAAAACUGUGAGUUUUCAGAUUCUUUUUUCGCCCAUAGGGUUUUCUUGGCAUUGCCAUAAUCAUUGGUUUUUAAAGCUUUUCAGUUUUAUAUUAUUUACUGAUUGAAUCAUAUUUGUUUGAUUAUGGGGGACUAAAGGCUCAACCUUUAUUUACAUGAUUACUUUAUGAAGAAUGGUAUGCGUGAAACCGCUGCAAUUUUCAGAGAAGAAGCUAGUCGUAUGAACUCUUCACUUUUUAACAUAUAUUCAUUUUUAUUAAAAGCCUGUUUCCUAAUGAAAUGGUUGUGCACUUUUCAACAUAUCGUUUCUUGAUGUUGAAGGUUGUAAGUUGAUUAAACUCUCUUUUGAACAACGAUUUAUAAACACAAUUGGCUUAUUCUUCUACAUGAAUCUUUUGUUUCUUCGUUUUGCAAGGCCUGUAAUUUAUUGAUUGUAAAAGAGAUCCAUUUUUUUUCAGCAUUUGACUAUAACUCCCCCCAAGCCCAAGGAUUCUUACAACAAUGGUGGACAGUAUUUUAUAACCAACUUACCUCUAGUCUACCAAAUCUUCAAGAAUUAUCUGAGGUAGAAACCUCUGCUAAGGUGAUUGUUUAUGGAGCUUAAGAUCAUAUUGUGCUAUACAUGUUCAUUUUUAUUGCAAUCUUGUCUAGUGAUGUGUUUUUUGUCAAUAUCACAGGCUGCAUAAAAUGCUGGUACUGGACAUAGAUAUCUUCCUACUUCCGCAGAUUUUCAUUCCGAUUCCGCUUUCAAAUCACUUGCUGAAACUAAUCAAGUGUGCCCCCCAUAUUCUGCUGCAUCUAGUUCAAGGUAUACAUAUGUUUUUAUUGAACUAAUUACAAGGCUUGUAUCAUUCACAAAUAAUUUAUAGUUUGUUACAUAUUACAUGAUUCACUGCCUAGUUUAGCAUAUUGGUGAAACGUAUAAUUUUAGAUUAAUAGUGAAGUGUAUAUGAUUAUCCAUUCUGGUAUCUAAUUUGCUUUAACAAUUUUUGGAGAGUUUUUCGAUUUCUUGAUUUUGUUUAACAUUUUUUCAUGUAUCAAUCAGCCUUCUGCAACCACAGACAAAUCAUGCUCAGCAUCAAGAACUUGUUAGGAUAUGUUCUAAACUAUCUAUUCGUGUAUGCAAUAACACUGAAUUGUUAAUAAACUCAGAACCAUUCCUACAAAUCCAUCCACCCUCCAUGAGGCACAUAACUGCGAACUUCUGAUAACCGGACCUUCUGAAAUGCAGAACAAAGUCGAGGCAUGGGAGAACCAUUCCUAUAAAUGAAACCACCCUCCAUGGGGAACAAAACCUCAAACUUCCGAUAACUGGACCUCAUGCUGAUGGUUAGCUUGGCCUUUUAUCUGGUUUUAGUUCAUUCAGUGUUCCAAAACAGGAGAUGAAUAAUCUGUAUCUGCUUUAUUUGAGAAGAUUUUAUACACGCUGCAGUAUAAAAUGCUG